rnacentral:rRNA from 1 species
ACGGUGAAACCGCGAAUGGCUCAUUAAAUCAGUUAUCGUUUAUUUGAUGGAUUCCUUUACAUGGAUAACCGUGGCAAUUCUAGGGCUAAUACAUGCAAAAAAGGCCCCUCACCGGGCCCGCUUUUAUUAGACCAAACCCUCAGGCGUCUUUGGCGUCUUUUUUGGUGACUCUGGAUAAUUCCGCUGAUCGUAUGGUCCCUGCACCGGCGAUGCAUCAUUCAAAUUUCUGCCUUAUCAACUGUCGAUGGUAAGAUAUGGGCUUACCAUGGUUGUAACGGGUAACGGGGAAUUAGGGUUCGAUUCCGGAGAGGGAGCCUGAGAAACGGCUACCACAUCCAAGGAAGGCAGCAGGCGCGCAAAUUACCCACUCCCGGCACGGGGAGGUAGUGACGAAAAAUAACAAUACGGGACUCUUUCGAGGCCCCGUAAUUGGAAUGAGUACACUUUAAAUCCUUUAACGAGUAUCUAUUGGAGGGCAAGUCUGGUGCCAGCAGCCGCGGUAAUUCCAGCUCCAAUAGCGUAUAUAA